GACAGAGGUGCCGAGCGUUAGGCGGGAUCACUGGGCUUAAAGCGUGUGUAGGUGGAUGCCUAAGUACCUUGUGAAAUCCCACGGCUUAACCGUGGAACUGCUCGGUAUACUGGGUGUCUUGAGCCAGCUAGGGGCUACCGGAACAAAUGGUGGAGCGGUGAAAUGCGUAGAUAUCAUUUGGAACGCCAAUGGUGAAAACAGGUAGCUGGGGCUGUGCUGACACUGAGACACGAAAGCCAGGGGAGCGAACGGG
rnacentral:rRNA from 1 species